AGUGAACGCUGGCGGCAGGCCUAACACAUGCAAGUCGAACGGCAGGGCAGUAAGCGCGUGCUCCUACGGGUGGCGAGUGGCGGACGGGUGAGGAAUACAUCGGAAUCUACUUUUUCGUGGGGGAUAACGGAGGGAAACUUAUGCUAAUACCGCAUAUGUCCUACGGGUGAAAGCAGUGGAUCUUCGGACCUUGCGCGACUGAAUGAGCCGAUGUCGGAUUAGCUAGUUGGCGUGGUAACGGCCCACCAAGGCGACGAUCCGUAGCUGGUCUGAGAGGAUGAUCGGCCACACUGGAACUGAGACACGGUCCAGACUCCUACGGGAGGCAGCAGUGGGGAAUAUUGCACAAUGGGCGCAAGCCUGAUCCAGCCAUGCCGCGUGGGUGAAGAAGGCCUUCGGGUUGUAAAGCCCUUUUGUUGGGAAAGAACGACAGCGGGUUAAUACCCGGCUGUUCUGACGGUACCUAAAGAAUAAGCACCGGCUAACUUCGUG
rnacentral:rRNA from 1 species